GACGAACGCUGGCGGCGUGCCUAAUACAUGCAAGUUGAGCGCUGAAGGUUGGUACUUGUACCGACUGGAUGAGCAGCGAACGGGUGAGUAACGCGUGGGGAAUCUGCCUUUGAGCGGGGGACAACAUUUGGAAACGAAUGCUAAUACCGCAUAAAAACUUUAAACACAAGUUUUAAGUUUGAAAGAUGCAAUUGCAUCACUCAAAGAUGAUCCCGCGUUGUAUUAGCUAGUUGGUGAGGUAAAGGCUCACCAAGGCGAUGAUACAUAGCCGACCUGAGGGUGAUCGGCCACAUUGGGACUGAGACACGGCCCAAACUCCUACGGGAGGCAGCAGUAGGGAAUCUUCGGCAAUGGACGAAAGUCUGACCGAGCAACGCCGCGUGAGUGAAGAAGGUUUUCGGAUCGUAAAACUCUGUUGGUAGAGAAGAACGUUGGUGAGAGUGGAAAGCUCAUCAAGUGACGGUAACUACCCAGAAAGGGACGGCUAACUACGUG
rnacentral:rRNA from 1 species